rnacentral:lncRNA from 1 species
UGGGGUUUGACCUGGAGUUGGUGGCAAUAGGGAGGGGUCUGUUGAGUCAUGGGGACCCCUCCUUCCCUUUCAUUGUCCCCCCCCUCACACACACACACACAAGCUGUGUGCAGGACUCUCAUCUGACUCUAGCUGCAAAAUGGAGCUGCUCUAGUCUGGAUACCUGGCGGCAGCCCAGUCCCCCACCGACUUGGAGCCGCUUGGCAGAGCUGGGCCUGUUUGCUUCUGCCCCGUGCCAGCGUCCUCCCUGCUGCCGCUCGCUGAGACCGGGGCCAUGUGGGCCCUGCUAGUGCUCCUGUUCCUGAUGCCACCAGGUUCCUCGGCCACUGGGGCCCUGGCUGAGAUGCGUCAGACCCCGCCGCCUGCCGGAACCGGUGCCAGGGCCCAGCUCCCCUCUGCCGCCCAGGGAGCUCUGCCCAAGGCCCCUCUGAUGGCCUCGGAGCUGCUGGCCCGGGGCGCGGACCCCCUGCUCUCCCUCAACCUGGGCCUGAACUUCAAGAUCAAGGUGAAGAGCCAGGGCAGCUUCCAGCCGGCAGGUCCCAGCGCUGAGCCGGCCCUUGCAGACCUGCCCCCGGCCGACACGGCGGACCUGAUCUCCUCUGCUAAUUUCCUGAUGCCCGGCGAGGCCCUGUCCGGCUCGUCCUCCGCCCCCGGCUCAGGGUGGCUGGCGACCGGCUCUGCAGACGAAGCAUCGCGCAGGAGCUGGGGUGAGGCCGCCGCAGACGGGAAUGGCUCCCCAGUUCCUCGAUUCCGCAGCAGCCCCAGGGGCCGCCCGCCGAGCACCACCCCCUUCGAGUCGGAGUUCCUGGAGCUGGUGCCCACGGCCCGACUCUCCUCGUUCCAGCCUGACGUGAUGCUGCCAGCUGCCAGACAGCCCACCCCUGCUAGCUCCCCCCGGGGGCGCAGCCAGGGCCUGGAGUUCCACAUCAACAUUGACCUGACGGCGGGGCUGGACCAGGAGGUGGGCGUGCCUCCCACCCACGUCCUGCCUGCCAGGGGGGGCAAGGGUCCGGGCACCAGGUGGAAGUACCCGCUGCUCCCCAGCCUGAAGGCAGGGAUCUCGGAGAUCGCCAGCAAGCUGGGCACCUCCAGUUUCUUUGGCCCUUCGCUGCCCCCAGACUGGCACCAGGAGAGGAACAGCACAGGUGGCGUCUGGGACCAGCCCCAAGACACCAGCCCCUCUCCACCCCAUGCCACGGAGCCAGGUGAGCUGCUGGGCUGACCCGCCUGUCCUGUGGGGCUGGGGCAGUCCCUACGUGCCCUGGCACCGCGCUGCGCCCCGGAAGCAGCCAGCAGCAGGUCUGGCUCCUAGGCGGGGAUCCCACAGGGCUCCUCCAUGAGCUGCCCCCGCACCCCAGCCCUGAUACACACCCUGGUACUUACCCAGUGCAUGCCCGAUACACACCCCAGUACACCCCCAAUACACCCCGAUACACACCCUAGUGCACUCCGAUACACGCACACUAAUGCACCCCAGCCCUGAUACACACCCCAUACACACCCUGUGCACUCCGAGACACCGAGACACACAGAGUAAUGCAC